UCCUAGGCUGGGCUCUGAUGUUUCCAGUGCAUCAUCUUGCUCUUCUCCAUGAGAACAACUAAUACGAUAAGGAAAAGGAGCAUGAUUGCACCAUGGCCUGACCUGCUCCGAUCAGUGGGACUGGUGAGGAGUCAGAGGAUCCACUCCACUGAGUGAUCGUCCCAGGAGACGGGGGUCGGAGCAAAGCGGACAUAAGACAGUACUUAUAUGUUUGUGAAGCCUGACUACGACAGCUAAAAGGCAUAAUGGACUAUAAAACCCAGGGUAGAAGAUCACUGGCUCUGGACAGCCUGUGGAGGAGCCUUUUCCUCCUAUUCCUCAGCAGGACAAAUGCUGUUUCCUCCCCAGGCUCAGAGUUUCCCUGGCAGAAGUGCGAGGAAUCACCCAGCAGCUUUGUUGAAAAUCGAGUUGGAGCGUGUUUUCCAUUUUCUGCUCCAGCAUAUAAUCCCCACUUUGGCUACCGUGCAUGUCAGUAAUAAAGCAUCAGAGGAACUAUAAGUAUAGCCUAAAAUUGAAGUUUGGGUCUACCUGAGCAAGAGCCAGAGAUGGUGACGGUGUGACUGACAGACCCCAAACGAGAAGCAGCCGUAUUCAGCACCAGUGAGACUCUUUUUAAUUGUGAAAAAGAGUAGAAGAACCAAGGUUAUUUGCUUGUUUUUAAAUAAAUGCGAGUGGCAGACAACUGCUCAACUGUAAACUCCUCAUGGACAUUCUUGUGAAAGCAGAAGAGUUUGAUUUUCACUCGUACUUUGUUUAUCACAAAUGAUUUUCUCUCAUCAUUUGAUCAGAAAUUCAAGUCUGUGUGGCCCAUCUUCUAUGCUUGUGCUAGUUAUGUGAAUAACAACCUGCAGAGACAGCAGGGAAAAUAGACGGUGACACUAUUUGUCUCUGUGUGAGACUGCUGUGAUUGGGAGCCUCCUGAAAAAUCUCGGUGUUGUCACUUUGCCCUAAAUGUGUGAUAUUUUCCCCGCUUGUUCCAGCUGCUGUGUUCGUGCACAGCACAUGUGACUUUGGAGGGGCAGCUUCAACAGCAAGCCUGGGAAUGGGGAAGGAAGAUAGAAAGGCAAUGUGGUGGCAUAGAAUAGAUGCAGUGGGUUGGACCCAAGAUGUCAUUCAGAAGGAAAGCCGUGUACUGGGGCUUUGGAUGGACUGGGACUGAUUUUCCCUGCUCCUCUGUUACGUGACUGUGAUGUGUGCCCACCACUCCAUGCUUGGAUCCCUUGGUCACCUUGCUCUUGUCAGUACCCAGUGGUCCCAUGGCUCUUCUUGCUUUCUUAAUGCUCAGCUCCUAAACGUGGCAAGGAUAUAACAGAGCAGGGUAUGGGUGGAGGUAUUGAAGAGCCUCUGAAGAUACUCUUAGACCCUGGGAAAUAUUUUCAGUACAAAAGAACCAAUCUUUUUUAUUGGUUCAGGUUAUUAAUUAAAUAUAAUCUGGAAAUGAUAUGAUGAAAAAUGUAAAAUUUCUGUUAAAAAAUUGUUAACAAUAUUUCCAUCCAGUUCCAGCUUCCAAACUGAGAUUUCAAAUUGCAUCUCAGUACAUAUGCAGGCCUUAUGAAGCUGCACCCUUUUUCUGUCGCAGAAGGCCAGCCAUGCAUGCUUUGUAAGCUGUAACCAUCCUCUUCCUCCUGCUAAAACUCCAGUGACCUGCAGUUGGCCAAGUGCUUGGGCUUCCCAUGGCAUGCCAGUGCAUCUCUGAGGUUGCUUUUCCUCAUCUACUUCCAUGCAGAAAUGAUCCCAGGUCUCUUCCAUCCUGCAUCUUUCAAAGCAUUGCCUGACCCAGCAUAUGGCCUGUACUGCAGCUGAAUUAAAUAAUAACUGAUCCCCGCAGGAAGCGUUUAAAGUCAUAUUUAAUAUGGAUGCAGACUAUAACCUGUUUGCGAUUUAAUUGCCUCCAAACUAAACAAGCAAUAGAUAUCCAAUUACGUGAUUGUAUACAAAGUUUCUUAUGUCCUGCUGUAGCUCAAAGGUUCAAGGAAGCAUUUAACUGCUAAUAAACAAGGUGCUUGGUUUAA